rnacentral:rRNA from 1 species
UACGAAGGGGGCUAGCGUUGCUCGGAAUGACUGGGCGUAAAGGGCGCGUAGGCGGAUGACACAGUCAGAUGUGAAAUUCCCGGGCUUAACCUGGGGGCUGCAUUUGAUACGUGUUGUCUAGAGUGAGGAAGAGGGUUGUGGAAUUCCCAGUGUAGAGGUGAAAUUCGUAGAUAUUGGGAAGAACACCGGUGGCGAAGGCGGCAACCUGGUCCUUGACUGACGCUGAGGCGCGAAAGCGUGGGGAGCAAACGGG